GAUGAACGCUAGCGGCAGGCCUAAUACAUGCAAGUCGAACGGUGUCUUCGGACAUAGUGGCGCACGGGUGCGUAACACGUAUGCAACCUACCUUACAUUGGGGGAUAGCCUUUCGAAAGGGAGAUUAAUACCGCCUAAGACAGUAGCUGGGCAUCCAGCAGCUGUUAAAGAUUUAUCGAUGUAAGCUGGGCAUGCGUCCAAUUAGCUAGUUGGUGGGGUAACGGCUCACCAAGGCUAUGAUUGGUAGGGGAACUGAGAGGGCAAUCCCCCACACUGGCACUGAGAUACGGGCCAGACGCCUACGGGAGGCAGCAGUAAGGAAUAUUGGGCAAUGGACGCAAGUCUGACCCAGCCAUGCCGCGUGCAGGAUGAAGGCGUUAUGCGUUGUAAACUGCUUUUAUACAGGAAGAAACGACUCUUGCGAGAGGCAUUGACGGUACUGUAUGAAUAAGCACCGGCUAACUCCGUGCCAGCCGCCGCCGUAAGAC
rnacentral:rRNA from 1 species